UUAAAUGAUUUAAUUUUUAUUAUGUGGAUAAGGUUGACGAAGACCUUUUCAAGUCAAUAUACAGCUCUUUAGUAUUACUAUUUUUAUCUCUAUCAAUCAUGCCUGAUUGUCUUGCAUGCCCUUUUUUUUAAUUUUUGUUUUUUCCUUUUAGUGUGAAUGCUUAAAAAUCACAGUAGCUAGUAGCAAGGAUAUGAAAGUAGAUAUUUUCGAAAUGAGUUAAAGAUGUGCAAAGAGAAAUUACAUCAUACUACACUUGUUCACACUAGCCAUCACUUUUAAGAUGUUGACUGCUAUUUAAUUGUUAAAUGAACAAACUCACUCAUGAAAUUGGACUGCACUUACCGACGUAGAGAUUUAAGAACCAAAUAGCAAAACAAAAAAGAACCAAAAUAAAUUAAAACAGUCCAUUAAACAGACCCAAAUAGACCUAAACCCCAUUUCAAUGAAAAAAACCAAAUAAAUCAAAUAACUCAAUGCCUAAAAGGCCCAAUGGCCCAAAACCUAGACCUAGGUUCAGCCUAACAGAAACCUAGGGUUUCCCUUGCGCCGCAGCUGGCCUCACAGCACCGUACAACCUCCAAUGCUUCAGCAGCCUCCAGUACACAGCCUCCGUACGCCCCAUGUCGAGUGCCACGUACCACCACAGCUGGCUCCGUACCCCGUACCUGCAAACCAAAACACGACAAUAGCACAAAAUAGCAAAAAGAAUGUAUUUUUCUUUUUUAUUUCGGCUAUAUAAAGCCAUACAAAAUUGUAUUGUUUUUUUUAGACACGAUCUAUUGAACACGCAUACUAAAAUACAAAAGCAACAAAAAAUCAAAAGGUGAUUUCGGAUUCGGUUCUUCUUUUCCAGUUGUUUUCUUCUUUGUUUUUUUUUUGGUUUUACAUACUGUGUAUUUGGAGUAUAAAAGAAAGAAAAGAAAAGUGAAGGCUUACCUUGCAAAUAUGCCACGAGAUUCCUUCUGCUUCGUUGAAAUCGAGGUAUGAGGGAUCCCAAAGCUGAAAAAACAAUCGCCGAGGCUCGAAUACACUGGUCGCCGACUGUUGUGGCGGAUCGACGUUUGAGCAAAAGGGAAUUAGCGUUCGGCCGAAUAUGGAAAAGGGAGUGUUUAGGUUUUUUUUUCCUAAAUGGCUUAGUUUUAGGGUUUUUUUUGGUUUUAACAAUGUAUAUGAAACGGCACCAUUUAGGGCCUGUUUCAGUGGCUCCAAAACGGUGCCGUCUAAGUCAACCCGUUUCGACCCGAUCCGAUUGCCCCCAGGAUCUGUGUGUUUUUGCGGAGAGGGGAUAUUUGUGCAUUGAGUCCUUCCUUUUCGCGUUGACGUUCAAUUGGAACCCAUUCAUAUUUUUCUUUUUCUUAAUUUAUUUCUGCAACUUGUGCGUAAAUCCAAUUUAGUCCGGCCUCAACGCUGCAUUUGGGAAUCUGGAAUAUUUCCAGUUUCGAUCCCUUUACAUUCGCACGCAUUAUGAUUUAGUCCCUAUUCUAUUUUUAAUGGCUUAUUUUAUUUAUUAAUUACUCCUUUAAGCUUCAUUUUAUUUCAAUUAAGUUUUUUUCAAUUUAUAUGAUUCAUUUUUAAAAGUUCACUUAGCUUUCAUCUUUUAAAUUUUUUUUUUGUUACAUUUUGAGUUACUUUGAUGAAUUUACUUUGUUUUUUUUUUGUUUUUUUAAUUUAUAAAAUUAUUAUUUUCAAAUUCUCUUUUAUAUCAUAUGAUUUUAAAUUUUUGUAUAAUCUUUAAUUUAAAUUACCCUCAUAUUAAUAUAUAUUUAUAUAUAAGUUUAUGUAAAAGUUAGUUGUAUUCUAUGAAUAUUAUUAAUCCCAUGUUAACUUAUUUAUAAAUUCUUUUAAAUCUAUCUGUGUAUAUUUUAUCUUUAUGUACAUAAUUCAUUUUUUUAAAGAACAUAUUUUAUUACAUAUUGUUGUGAUUUAAAAUUUCACAUGUUUAUAUACUAUUUUUUAUAUGCAUAUACAUUGUCCACUUUAAAUGGAUGUAUCAUUUUUAAAAUGUUUUUGUACAUUAUUUGACUCAAAUUUCUUCUUUCAUAAUAUUUAUUUUAAUAAUUAUUUAUAUAUUUGUAGUUUAAUUUUUUUUACAUGUAAAUUAUUUAAAAUUAUGGCAUGUGUUAUACUCGUAAUUUCUCACGUGUUUUUAAUUGUUUUGUACCAUAUCCUAGUGUCCAUAUUGUUUUGUAUAUAAUGUGUGUUUUGUUGGCUUUUUCCAUAUUGUUUUAUAGAUUAUUAUAUCAUAUUUUCAAUUGGUAUUUGGUGUUGUUAUCUUAAUUUUAUUUAUCUAUGUUUGAAAACUUGUUAUAGUUUUUAUUUUGAUUUGUUUCUUUAGUUAUAUUUUUAGUUUUCACUAUUUUGAUCAUUAAUGUUUGGAUGUGAGUUUAAUGUUAUUUUGUCCAUGUUAAUUCUUUUAUUUAUUUAUUUUUAUACUAUUUUCAUUCAUUAAUAGAGUUCGCUAUCCAUGUAUAUUGUCUCAUGUUUAUAAUUUUGUCUUUCAUUCGCAAUUGUCGCAUUGUAAUUUGUAACUUAUUGAUCCAAAAUUAAUGAUUCCAUUUUAUUUCAAGUCGAAUUAAUGUAUUUUGAGUCGACUUUUUAAAAACAAAGGCGAUAUUUGACGUUUGGAAAUUCGGGAAAUCCUGCCCUAACGUGCUGGGUUUCGAUUUUCUGUUUGUCCAAAUGAUCAAAUAUCCCUUUAAAAUUUCGUCCACGUUUUCUAAACUUUAAAAAAAAGGUGAUGUUUGAUACUUAAAAAUUCGGGAAAUCAAGCCCUAACGUGCUAGGUUUCGAUUUUCUGUUUGUCCAAAUGAUCAAAUAUCCCUUCAAAAUUUCGUCCGUAUUCUCUAAACUUCACAACAAGGCAAUAUUCUAUGUUUGGAAACUCGAGAAAUCCUGCCCUAACGUGUAAUACCCCCUACCCAUAUUCAUUGCCGGAAUAGGGUACGAGGUAUUACCGGAGUUUACGAUUUUUUUUUAUAUUCAAUAUAGCCCCUUUAUAAAUAUCUAACCUUCCCUGCAAUAUUAAAUUGAGGCCAAUCCACAUCAACCAAACCAAUUCAACAUAUUUUCAAGAUAAAUUCAUGCAUAUUUAUAAGAUAACGUCAUCACAUACCCAAAACCAGGUUUGUUAACUAUACUAAUGGCUAACUUUACAUUCAUUUCACGUUAACAUUUACUUUAUUAGCUUAUACAUGCCAUUGAUUUCCAAAAUAAAGUUUCUUUAUAUACCGAAAUCCUGAGGUUGAUAGUGUGAUGUGUCUCCGACCAAAUCUGACCUCCGAGCUCUUAACACUACAAAACAGGGGAAAAUGAAACAGGGUAAGCACUUUGUGCUUAGUAAGCUCAUGUAACAAGAAUUAUACUUACCUAAUAUUUUCAAUACAAUACAAUAAACAUUCAUAUAUCCAUUCAAUGCAUUAUUACCCUAACAUGCACAAACUCAACAUUCAAGUUAGUACAAUAAUUUCCAUGUACCAAUAAUAUAUACUAUGAUUGAUGAGCUCAUCAAUACCAUAAUUUUCAUUUCCUUAUAUAUAUAUAUAUAUUUUUUCAUAUUUAUCCCGUUGAAUUUCUUGGAAUUUUCGAUGGAUUUUCAGAGGUACACUUUUAGUGUACAUUUCCAGGUCCGUCAAUUCAUAUUCAUGUGCGCACAUUUCCAUUUCAGAGAGCACACUCCUGCGAACCUCAUCCUUACAGCGGGAUUACCAGUCCAGGCUAAAUCCCCUGUAAUAUAAACUCAUAGAGUAUUGUCGGGAUUACCAGUCCAGGCUAAAUCCCCUGCAAACGACAAUUACUCUAAUGAGCUUGGAUCUGAAUUACCAGUCCAGGCUAAUUUCAGACCCUAAUUCGGAUUACCCGUCCGGGCUAAAUCUAUUUUCCACAUAUUCUUCGGGAGGGCUAUAUCAGGAUAGGAUCACCCGUCUGGGCUAGAUCUUUUUUACCGUCAAUUCCUUUUCAGAGAUCCAUCAAAUUUUCCUUUCAUUCAACCGGGAUUUCUUCCCCUUUUAUCAAAUAUAUCAAUUUUUCAUAAAUUUCCAUAUAAUGAACAUUCAAAUCAUAUUCAUAUCAAAAACAUGCAUUUCAAGCAUUUAAGAAUAUAAUUCAAGUUACACGAACUUACCUUGAUACUUGUUCGUGUACAAAAAUCUACUAAUCCUGAACUUUUUCCUUUCCUCGAUCUAGCUCCGUAUUUGAAUCUUCUGGAUCUAAAUAAAUAAAUUUAAUUAUCAAUUUAAUACAUUUCAUGUUUAUAUGCAACAAUUUCUAUAAUUUCAUUAUUAUUAUUUAUAGUUUAUUCAAAGCUGUCUAUUUGAGUCAUAGUCACUAAAUUAUUUAUAAAUCAAGCUACGGAACUCCAAAUUAAGAUCCGUUAAUUUUCCCUGAAACUAGACUCAUAUAUCUUCUUACAAUAAAAUUUUCAAAAUUUUUGGUUUAGCCAAUAAGUACAGUUUAUUCUUUAAUGUCACCCCUGUUCUGCUGUCUGAUAGUUCUGACCCUUCUUCACUAAAAAUUAAUUAUCUCUUCAUAUAGAAUUCAGAUGAUGUUCCCGUUUGUUUCUCUUGAAAAUAGACUCAUUCAGGAUUCUAUGCAUAUAAAUUUAAGCCCAUAAUUAUUUUUAUUCAAUUUUUUAUGAUUUCUCAAAGUUAGUCUACUGCUGCUGUCCAAUAUUUUUUUAGUGCAAGCUGUUUAUUACCAUUUUUCCCCUAAGCUUUUAAUAAAUAACAAUUUCGUCCCUACUCAAUUAGCCUCUCAAUUGAGCUUAUUUUUCUUAAUUAACACUUUAUUCUAUCACCUUAAACUAGUUUACAACUUUUAGGAAUCAAAAUUUCAGCAAUAGACUUUAAUUCCAAACAUUUUCACAAUUAGGUCCUAAAAAUCAAUUUCUAUUGAAAUUACCUAAUAAAAUCAUCUCAUAAACAAAUUAAAGCUUUAAUUUCAUUCUAUCUCAUCAUAAACUUACAGCACUCAACCUUGGUGACUUUCAAUUUCAUCCAUGCAAUCAAAAACUAAUGAAUUUAAUAGUAGGACCUAGUUGUAAAAGUCUUAGAAACACAAAAAUUACAAGAAAAAGGCAAGGAUUAACUCACUUGGUGCACAAAUUAUGGAAUACCAGCUUAGAGAACCCUCCUAUGGCGUUUUUAGCUACUGGAAUUGAAGAGAAAUGAAGAGAAAUCUAGAUAUUUCCUAUUUAGUCCUAGUUUUAUUUAGUUAAUUUUGCAAUAUUCCAAUUUUGCCCUUAAUUUAUCAAUUUUCCUGCUGAUUUCAUGCCCUUGCCCGUCCAGUCCAUAUAAAUUUUGGGUCUAAUUUCCUUUUAAAUCCUCUCUCAUUAGACACUUAAGCUAUUUAAUCAUCCCAUCCACUUUUACACCUUUUACAAUUUAGUCCUUUUCAUUUAAUUAACUAUCCAAACAUUAAAAUUUCCUAACAAAAUUUUAAUACCACAUUACUAACAUUUCAUAAAUAUUUAUAAAAUUAUUUUUAACUCGUUUUUACGAGAUAAAGAUCCCGAUACCUUAUUUUACCCAAUUUAUUCAAUAAUUUCUUUUUCUAACUAACCACUAAAUCGGUAAAAUUUUUCUAUCAAUAUUUUCAUACGAUUUUCCUAUCAUAUCAAUUUUCAUGCAAAAAUAUUGAAAUAAAUUUCUCUUUAAAUCAGAUUUGUGGUUACAAAACCACUGUUUCGAUAACCUUGAAUUUAGGUCAUUACGUAACGUGUUGGGUUUCAGUUUUUCGUUGGACCAAAUAAUCGAAUAUCCUUUUGUAAUUUUCAAAUGUAUGAGUUUUUGGAAAUCAAGAAUUGAUCAUAGUUUUGAGGGUUUAAAGGAUCUUGUCCUAACGUGCUGGAUGUGAUACUGUAUUCCUUUGAAACAAAAGAGUUUUAAUGUCUAAUUCGUGUCAUUCGAAUGUUUUAAAAUAAAUCUAUUUUAAAAUAUUUUUUAAAUCUUAGGCAUAAUGACAUUAUUUAAUCAAUUUGGUACCAAUUUGGGGCGUAACGAGGGUGCUAAUCCUACCUCGUACGCAAUCGACUCCCGAACCCAUUUUCUUAAAUUGUGUAGGCCAAAAUUGAUGUUUUAAUAAAAUAAAGUGUUUUAUUAGGUGACCCGAUCACACCUAAACAAAAAGGAUUGGUGGCGACUCCAUACCUCGUUUUAAAGUCGAUCCCCAUUUUUUUUAAUUAAUAAAAAUGGUUUCGACACACUCCACCGCUCAUGUAAAUACAUCAUUACUAGCAUAGAUACAAGAAUUCGUAUGGUCGAUACAAUUAAAUUAAUUCCCUGCUAAAAGAAUAAAAAUGACUGUCUAUCGAUUGCAAUGUUGCUGAUAUUUCAGUAACUUGAUUUAUUUAUAAUAAUAUGAAUUUUGGCUGAGAAAAAAAAUCUUUUAAAUGAUUUAAUUUUUAUUAUGUGGAUGAGGUUGACGAAGACCAUUUCAAGUCAAUAUACAGCUCUCUAGUAUUACUAUUUUUAUCUCUAUCAAUCAUGCAUUAUUGUCUUGCAUGCCCUUUUUUUAAUUUUUGUUUUUCCUUUUAGUGUGAAUGCUUAAAAAUCACAGUAGCUAGUAGCAAGGAUAUGAAAGUAGAUAUUUUUGAAAUGAGUUAAAGAUGUGCAAAGAGAAAUUACAUCAUACUACACUUGUUCACACUAGCCAUCACUUUUAAGAUGUUGACUGCUAUUUCCUCCUAAUUAAUUGUUAAAUGAACAAACUCACUCAAGAAAUUGAAAUGCACUUACCGACGUAGAGAUUUAAGAACCAAAUAGCAAAACAAAAAAAAAACCAAAAUAAAUUAAAACAGUCCAUUAAACAGACCCAAAUAGACCCAAACCCCAUUACAAUGAAAAAAAAACCAAACAAAUCAAAUAACCCAAUGCCUAAAAGGCCCAAAACCUAGACCCAGGUUCAGCCAAAUAGAAACCUAGGGUUUCCCUUGCGCCGCAGCUGGCCUCCCAGCACCGUACAACCUCCAGCGCUUCAGCAGCCUCCAGCACACAGCCUCCGUACGCCCCACGCCGAGUGCCACGUACCACCACAGCUGGCCCCAUACCCCGUACCUGCAAACCAAAACACGACAGCGGUACAAAAUAGCAAAAAGAAUGUAUUUUUCUUUUUUAUUUCAGCUAUAUAAAGCCAUACAAAAUUAAUGUAUUGUUUUUUUUUUAGACACAAUUUAUUGAAAACGCAUACUGAAUUACAAAAGCAACCAAAAAUCAAAAGGUGAUUUCAGAUUCAGUUAUUCUUUUCCAGUUGUUUUCUUCUUUUUUUUUUUUGGUUUUACAUACUGUGUAUUUGGAGUAUAAAAGAAAAGAAAAGAAAAGUGAAGGCUUACCUUGCAAAUAUGCCAUGAGAUUCCUUCUGCUUCGUUGAAAUCGAGGUAUGAGGAGAUACCAAAGAUGAAAAAACAACCGUCGAGGCUCGAAUACACUGGUUGCCGACUGUUAUGGCGGAUCGGCGUUUGAGCAAAAGGCGAUUAGGGUUCGGCCGAAUAUGGAAAAGGGAGUGUUUAGUUUUUUUUUCUGAAAUGGCUAAGGGUAUUAGUUUUAGGUUUUUUUUUGGUUUUUGGGUAUUAGUUUUAGGGUUUUUAGUUUUUUUGUCCUGCUUCAGUGGCUCUAAAAUGGUGUCGUCUAAGCCAACCCGUUUCGACUCGACCCGAUUGCCCCCAGGAUCCGAAUGUUUCUGCGGAGAGGGGAUAUUUGUGCAUUGAGUCCUUCUUUUUCGCGUUGACGUUCAAUUGGACCCUAUUCAUAUUUUUCUUUUUCUUAAUCUAUUUUUGCAACUUGUGCAUAAAUCCAAUUUAGUCCGUGCCUCAACGCUGCGUUUGGGAAUCUGGAAUAUUUCCAGUUUCGAUCCCUACGCAUUCGCGCGCAUUAUGAUUUAGUCCCUAUUCUAUUUUUAAUGGCUUAUUUUAUUUAUUAAUUACUCCUUUAAGCUUCAUUUUAUUUCAAUUAAGUAUUUUUUCAAUUAAUAUGAUUUAUUUUUAAAAGUUCAUUUAGCUUUCAUCUUUUAAAUUUUUUUUAUAUACAUUUUGAGUUACUUUGAUGAAUUUACUUUGUUUUUUUUUUAGUUUUUUUUAAUUUAUAAAAUUAUUUUUUUCAAAUUCUCUUUUAUAUCAUAUGAUUUUAAAUUUUUGUAUAAUCUUUAAUUUAAAUUACCCUCAUAUUAAUACAUAUAUAUAUAUAAAAGUUUAUGUAAAAGUUAGUUGUGUUCUAUGAAUAUUAUUAAUCCCAUGUUAACUUAUUUAUAAAUUCCCAUGUUAACUUAUUUAUAACUUCUUUUAAAUCUAUUUAUGUAUAUUUUAUCUUUAUGUACAUAAUUCAUUUUUUUAAAGAACAUAUUUUAUUACAUAUUUUUGUGAUUUA
rnacentral:lncRNA from 1 species